UGAGCCCCCAGCCUUGACAUCGGAUUGGCUCCCUGCAGAGUCUCAUCAGAUCAGCCACCCUGCACACCUCAGACCUGCCCCUGGCUCAGUGCUCGUGGCCGGGGCCUCCCAAGCUCCUCUCCGACAAGUCCUUGCAUGGAUCAACCCCUUCUGAGCCGAGCUGGGUCUGAGGGCCAGAUGCCGUAGGGCUGCCGGUGGAGGGGUGAGAGCAGCCAAGUCAUUAAGUCGGAAACCACCAACAGCAGGCGCCUGCUGGGAGCUGCCAGAGGACUGGCCAGCGUUUCAGAGCAUCCUCGGAUAUCAGGCAAGCAGUAAAGAGCCGGCCUGGGAGAAGGCCAGGCUUUUGCUCUUUGCUGGGAAAAGUCGUUAGAAACUUCAGAGGAAAAAGGAAGGUGGCCAUCCUGGGCCUUCGUACCUUUCUCGUCUCCUGGGUGUUGUCCAGGAUGCCUACUGUUAAGGAAGGGGCUUUGUAGGAAGGUACCUGCUAGAAUCAAGAUGGAUCCUUUGGGAACUCAGGAUCCUACAAUGUGUUUUGUUAUCACAUCUCCUUAGUUGGUGCCAAUCUAAGUUACAGCUCCUUGCUGCUAUAUGCUGAAUAUUUGUCUCCUUCCAAGAUUCAUAUAUUGAAAUCUAAUCCCUAAGGCAUUUGGAAGAACCUUUGGGAGGCACAGAGAAGCUAUGCUAUCCCCACCUGGGCUGCUGUGUGGGUAUCUGCCCUCACCAAAGGAUGGAGGAGCCCUGAGGAUACUCCAAAGGCCUGGAAAAAAGCCAGCUGGAAACAUAUAUAAAAUAUGGGCUUAAGAAGAUGUGGUAUAU